CAGAUAGAAAACGAAAAUUCACUCAAAGUGAACCUCGAGCUGCAUUUGUGAAACGGCAAAGACUCACUAUUGUCAAGGAGAUUGAAGAGACGACUAAAAAUGAGAUGUGUUAUAUUAUUAUACCUUUGCCAUCUUGUAGUCAAGAUGUCCAGCCACUUGAAAAUAGGUGUAGUAAUGACAAAGCUAUCCAAGUAGCUCCAGCACAGGAACACAAAGGCAAGGCAAGUGUGUAUUGCCACAUCACCCCUAAAUAUAUCUGAAGCAAGUACAAGUAAACAAUCAGAACCAGCAAAAAGAAAACUGUUGUUCCUGAGGACAAAUUUGACAGCGAUGAGUCAAAUGCACCAGCAACAGAAGGAUCAACAGUUGACUAUGAGUCAUCUCUCUAUAUCUCCACUCCAUCAAAGACUUGUGCACUGCAGACUAUAGCUCUCAAGAAGACUAAAAAAGUUGAAAAAAUGAAUGUGUUAACAACUUUAUCUAAAGUGAAAAAUAAACAACGUUUAUAUAUUGGUCUUCCACAAGAAUUAUAUUUCAUAAUAGGCUUGAUUGAGAAACAUACAAAUGUUUCUGAACAAAAGAUUAUAUUAUGUUUGAUGAGAAUAAAAUUAAAUAGAACAUUCUCUCAAUUGGCUGAUGAUUUCGAUCUAUCUGUAAGUCAAGCAAGCAAUAUAUUUUUCAACAAACUCCCAGAAAUUGCAAAUGUAAUAUCACCCCUUGUUAGAGUAUAAAAAAAAACAAUACAAUAAAUAUAUAUGCAGGAAGGAUAAUUGAUGUUAACUUGGUGGAAAAUAGAAAGUUUUUAGAUAGUUUGCCACCUACAAGACUCUUUAAUUAAAUAAGUAAUCCUUACUUAUAAAUAGGAAUUUUUGUAAGUAUUUUCACUCUUCAUUCAAAAACUACUGAACAGAUUUUAAUAAGACUUCUAUGCUGGUCUUGUAUGGCUAGCAACUCAUUAUUAUUUUGAUUCUGUUUUCCACAAAUGUGCUAAAUAUGGGCUUAUAUAUAUGAAAAGGAAUAAAGAUUAAUGUUAUGUAACCUUUGUACCUGUAUGUUAAGAAUAAUUUUUAAAUAAAACAUAUUUAAAUUGAAA